rnacentral:rRNA from 1 species
GGGUUGUGAGGUUAAGCGACUAAGCGUACACGGUGGAUGCCCUGGCAGUCAGAGGCGAUGAAGGACGUGCUAAUCUGCGAUAAGCGUCGGUAAGGUGAUAUGAACCGUUAUAACCGGCGAUUUCCGAAUGGGGAAACCCAGUGUGUUUCGACACACUAUCAUUAACUGAAUCCAUAGGUUAAUGAGGCGAACCGGGGGAACUGAAACAUCUAAGUACCCCGAGGAAAAGAAAUCAACCGAGAUUCCCCCAGUAGCGGCGAGCGAACGGGGAGCAGCCCAGAGCCUGAAUCAGUGUGUGUGUUAGUGGAAGCGUCUGGAAAGGCGCGCGAUACAGGGUGACAGCCCCGUACACAAAAAUGCACAUGCUGUGAGCUCGAUGAGUAGGGCGGGACACGUGGUAUCCUGUCUGAAUAUGGGGGGACCAUCCUCCAAGGCUAAAUACUCCUGACUGACCGAUAGUGAACCAGUACCGUGAGGGAAAGGCGAAAAGAACCCCGGCGAGGGGAGUGAAAAAGAACCUGAAACCGUGUACGUACAAGCAGUGGGAGCCUCUUUUAUGGGGUGACUGCGUACCUUUUGUAUAAUGGGUCAGCGACUUAUAUUCUGUAGCAAGGUUAACCGAAUAGGGGAGCCGAAGGGAAACCGAGUCUUAACUGGGCGUUAAGUUGCAGGGUAUAGACCCGAAACCCGGUGAUCUAGCCAUGGGCAGGUUGAAGGUUGGGUAACACUAACUGGAGGACCGAACCGACUAAUGUUGAAAAAUUAGCGGAUGACUUGUGGCUGGGGGUGAAAGGCCAAUCAAACCGGGAGAUAGCUGGUUCUCCCCGAAAGCUAUUUAGGUAGCGCCUCGUGAAUUCAUCUCCGGGGGUAGAGCACUGUUUCGGCAAGGGGGUCAUCCCGACUUACCAACCCGAUGCAAACUGCGAAUACCGGAGAAUGUUAUCACGGGAGACACACGGCGGGUGCUAACGUCCGUCGUGAAGAGGGAAACAACCCAGACCGCCAGCUAAGGUCCCAAAGUCAUGGUUAAGUGGGAAACGAUGUGGGAAGGCCCAGACAGCCAGGAUGUUGGCUUAGAAGCAGCCAUCAUUUAAAGAAAGCGUAAUAGCUCACUGGUCGAGUCGGCCUGCGCGGAAGAUGUAACGGGGCUAAACCAUGCACCGAAGCUGCGGCAGCGACGCUUAUGCGUUGUUGGGUAGGGGAGCGUUCUGUAAGCCUG